AUUUAAAUAGCUUAUAUUUGAGAGCAUGACACUGAAGAUGUUAAGGAGAUAUUUUUGUCUUUAAAUG
rnacentral:tRNA from 1 species